rnacentral:rRNA from 1 species
UACGUAGGGGGCAAGCGUUGUCCGGAUUUAUUGGGCGUAAAGGGUGCGUAGGCGGUGAGGCAAGUCUGGUGUGAAAUCCCGGAGCUCAACUCCGGAACUGCACUGGAUACUGCUUUACUAGAGUACUGGAGAGGGAACUGGAAUUUACGGUGUAGCAGUGAAAUGCGUAGAUAUCGUAAGGAAGACCAGCGGCGAAGGCGAGUUCCUGGACAGUUACUGACGCUGAGGCACGAAGGCCAGGGGAGCAAACGGG